UACGUAGGAGGCAAGCGUUGUCCGGAUUUACUGGGCGUAAAGAGCGUGUAGGCGGCCAAGCAGGUCCGUUGUGAAAACUGGAGGCUUAACCUCCAGACGUCGACGGAAACCGCGUGGCUAGAGUCCGGAAGAGGAGAGUGGAAUUCCUGGUGUAGCGGUGAAAUGCGCAGAUAUCAGGAAGAACACCAAUGGCGAAGGCAGCUCUCUGGGACGGUACUGACGCUGAGACGCGAAAGCGUGGGGAGCGAACAGG
rnacentral:rRNA from 1 species